UAGCGAAACAAAGUUGUUAAGCUGUUAAAAAAUCAAAAGGAAAAAGCUUCAGACGAAUAUUUUCUCUCCACUUUUCUUAGUCGUCCUACUCGAUUGCGUUGUCAUCUCCGAAGGCAAGGUCCUUGGCGUUCAGUUGCUAGAGGUAGUGAAGAGAAGAGCUGAUCUUUGUCUAUGACAACUGCUCAAACUUCUGCUUGCAUGGAGGAGUUGAAGAUUUCUCAGCUGUGGUUCUGAGCUUCUGAAGGCUGAGCCCAAUCAGGUGAUUUCGGGGGGUUCGAGCCGGAAAUCCAUAAAUCGGGCUCGACACACACGAUGAUCUCACGCAAGGAGGGUGCAAAUCCUCAGUUCGUGGACCUCGCACUUGCGGACUCCUUCUCAAAUCACUCCGAAAAAAAUAAAGGAUUAAAUUCUCUAAAGACAGUCGAUAAGUCCGACGCUUCAACCGGAGAUACACAAAUUUUUAACCUUACUCUUAUUACCAUUUAUUACAUGCUUGUCAUUUAUUGAUGUAAUUAUAAAUUACUAUGUUAGCGUAAUCAUAUCAAAACACAUUGUGAUCAUGAAGCAGCACCCUGUGGCUCGUCACUUUGGUCAAUUGGAGUUUGGAGGCAGUGUGAUUAGUCAUGUGGAUUCUGGGAGUUUCAAUACCCUCAAUAGGCAAAGGUAUUGCCUUCUUUAUUUUACAAAGGAAAUUUGCACCACUUUUUAUUCUUUAAUUUGUGUAGGUUUAUGCUAAGCCACCCUUAUUACUUAGUCGAACUAUGCAUCUUGUGUUUGGCGGUUUUGCUUUGGCAAUAAUGGCAGAGUAGAACUGCCAACAUGACCUAGGGCAUUGAUGUUCAAAUAUGGCAUCACUAAUGAAAGCUUCACUCAUCUAAAUUUGUAGUUUGGAAGUUAUUAUUUACGAUGACCUCCCAUAAAGUCUGACGAAUGUGAUCACUAUCUUCUUCUUUUUUUUUUUUUUUUUUUGUUUGAUAAUGCAUACGAUAGCAAACCCCAUUUAGUGAAGAUGAGUUUUUGAGCAAAGACUUCAACAACUUCCAAGAUCUUUACCAUUUACCAACUUGAUGCGCUGACAGCUUCAGUUGUGAUCGGCACCUACUCCAAAUGAUAAUCCUUUAUGUCGGGAAGUUUGGCCGACUUGCCACAAUUCUUUUUGUAUGCAGGGAAUGAAUGGUAGCCCCACGUCCAAUGCCUGGAGUAGGUAAGGCUCCCGUUCCCUCAUGAUGUUGCAAGCAAAUGAUAGAAUAUCAAUAGAUGAGUUAGUAGAAUGUAUGAAUGUAUUAAUCAUCAUAAUUAAAUACUUAGUUUGAAAUAGUAUUUUUAUUGAAGCACAGCUAUGUCGAGAUGUUUACAAUCAAUUAUUUAUUAAGGUCAAUUAGAGUU